AUCCGUAUCUCUAUGGCCUAGACCUCGCAAAACCCUGCGGCGGGGCAGAAAGGGGGCGGCUCCCGGCAUCGCGGGGUAGAACGCAGAUAAAUGUCUUCGGGUCACACAUUCCUGCCCUUUCCUACCCGUGUCCGCCUGGCGGCACUACUAGCAGAGAGUUGGAAAUUGCCCUCAUCAAGAUUUUUAAGAAAUGUAGAGGAACACGGUAGGGCGUCCCAAAACUUUCAUGCAGUAACAUUGCUAAAAUGACCCUAAAUUAAAAAAAAAAAGUUUUGCAUUUGAAGUAUCUUUUCAGCUUGAACCCCAGGCUAGGCCUGGACCUGCCGCUCUUUUCUCACAGACUUAGCCCGCUUGUCCCCCAGUACUGCAGGGAUGAGUGGGCACACCUGUCCUUCCUCUCACCCCCGAGGCCCCAAGUGGCUCAUCUGUUGAUUCAGAGGAAACACAGCGAGCUCUCAAUUUACUUGUGGAAUGACCGCCUGACCUGACUCAGGCCUUGUCAAUCAGAAUGUCCGAGCGUGGCUUCGAGAGUGGCUCGAAUUUUGAAUCCAGAAGGGCUGUCUACCAAAGAUAGAGGAAGGAAGGAGCAGAACUGGCUUUUCCAAGGUUCAGAUGAUGUAACCAGCCAUCUGUCCAUCCAUCCAUCCAUCCAUCCAUCCAUCCAUCCAUCCAUCCAAGAAGAGAGAGAGAAGACAGAGAAAGCAAUAUUAGAUCCACACACAACAGCAAAGAGAAAUGAGCAUGGGCGAAAUAAAUCUUCAAAUGCAACAUCUAAAUAAA